UACGUAGGGUGCGAGCGUUAAUCGGAAUUACUGGGCGUAAAGCGUGCGCAGGCGGUUCGUUAAGUCAGAUGUGAAAGCCCCGGGCCCAACCUGGGAACUGCAUUUGAAACUGGCGGGCUUGAGUGUGGCAGAGGGGGGUGGAAUUCCGCGUGUAGCAGUGAAAUGCGUAGAGAUGCGGAGGAACACCGAUGGCGAAGGCAGCCCCCUGGGCCAACACUGACGCUCAGGCACGAAAGCGUGGGGAGCAAACAGG
rnacentral:rRNA from 1 species